GGUCCUGAAUAGAGUCUGCAAACCUCAAGCAGCAGGUAAUACCUGCCGGGGCU
rnacentral:tRNA from 1 species